rnacentral:rRNA from 1 species
ACCUGAUUAGUGGCGAACGGGUGAGUAACACGUGAGUAACCUGCCCCCCACUUCGGGAUAACCUCGGGAAAUCGUGGCUAAUACCGGAUACGAGCACUCAUCGCAUGGUGGGUGCUGGAAAGAUUUAUCGGUGGGGGAUGGACUCGCGGCCUAUCAGUUUGUUGGUGAGGUGAUGGCUCACCAAGACGAUGACGGGUAGCCGGCCUGAGAGGGCGACCGGCCACACUGGGACUGAGACACGGCCCAGACUCCUACGGGAGGCAGCAGUGGGGAAUAUUGCACAAUGGGCGAAAGCCUGAUGCAGCGACGCCGCGUGGGGGAUGACGGCCUUCGGGUUGUAAACCCCUUUCAGUAGGGAAGAAGCGAGAGUGACGGUACCUGCAGAAGAAGCGCCGGCUAACUACGUGCCAGCAGCCGCGGUAAUACGUAGGGCGCAAGCGUUGUCCGGAAUUAUUGGGCGUAAAGAGCUUGUAGGUGGCUUGUCGCGUCUGCCGUGAAAACCCGAGGCUCAACCUCGGGCGUGCGGUGGGUACGGGCAGGCUAGAGUGUGGUAGGGGAGACUGGAACUCCUGGUGUAGCGGUGAAAUGCGCAGAUAUCA